UUACUCAUACGAGUCCGGUUUGUUGGAAUACUGAUAAAUCAUGUAAGCAUUAUUCAGAUAUUGGGCGGGAAUGAGAAUAAUGCUUUUCCAUCUUGCUGGCUGCUCGCGGUUGUAAAUAUGAACCAAUAUGAUAUAGAUUUUGCUGACAUACAAUCUUCGCGUCUGAAGCGAGACCAUAUUGAUGGAAAUCCAUGCAGCAAUAUCAGAGACGAAAUCGUUCAU